rnacentral:tRNA from 1 species
GCGGGUGUGGCGGAACUGGCAGACGCGCNNCGCGCUGGAUUUAGGUUCCAGUGGAGAAAUCCGUGCAGGUUCGAUUCCUGUCACCCGUA